rnacentral:lncRNA from 1 species
UGUGUUUUUCAUCAAGUUGAUCAACAAGCAAUGGUCGCCAACUAUAAAGUGUGUGAUUUUUAUCAAGUCGAUCAACAAGCUAUUGUCGUCAACUAUACAUUUUGUGUUUUUCAUGUAGUUGAUCAACCAUCAAUGGUUGUCAACCAGCAAUGUCGUCAACUAUACAUUUUGUGUUUUUCAUGUAGUUGAUCAACCGACAAUGGUCGUCAACUAUAAAGUUUGUGUUUUUCAUCAAGUUGAUCAACCAGCAGCGGUCUUCAACUAUACAGUGUGAUUUUGAUUAUGUUGAUCAACCAGCAAUGAUCGUCAACUAAAAAGGGUGUGGUUUUCAUCAAGUUCAUCCACCAACAAUGGUUGUCAACUAUAAAUUUUGUGUUUUUCAUCAAGUUGAUCAACAAGCAAUGGUCGUCAACUAUAAAGUGUGUGAUUUUCAUCAAGUCGAUCAA